rnacentral:rRNA from 1 species
UACGAAGGGGGCUAGCGUUGUCCGGAAUCAUUGGGCGUAAAGCGCGUGUAGGCGGCUCGGUAAGUCUGCUGUGAAAGUCCAGGGCUCAACCCUGGGAUGCCGGUGGAUACUGUCGAGCUCGAGUCCGGAAGAGGCGAGUGGAAUUCCUGGUGUAGCGGUGAAAUGCGCAGAUAUCAGGAGGAACACCAAUGGCGAAGGCAGCUCGCUGGGACGUGACUGACGCUGAGACGCGAAAGCGUGGGGAGCAAACAGG